UACGGAGGGGCUAGCGUUGUUCGGAAUUACUGGGCGUAAAGCGCGCGUAGGCGGACCUGCAAGUCGGGGGUGAAAGCCCGAGGCUCAACCUCGGAACUGCCUUCGAUACUGCGGGUCUCGAGUCCGGGAGAGGUGAGUGGAAUUCCUAGUGUAGAGGUGAAAUUCGUAGAUAUUAGGAAGAACACCAGUGGCGAAGGCGGCUCACUGGCCCGGUACUGACGCUGAGGCGCGAAAGCGUGGGAG
rnacentral:rRNA from 1 species